rnacentral:rRNA from 1 species
GACGAAGGGGGCUAGCGUUGUUCGGAAUUACUGGGCGUAAAGGGCGCGUAGGCGGUGCGGUAAGUCACCUGUGAAAUCUCCUGGCUUAACUGGGAACUGCAUUGGAAACUAGCGAGCUUGAGUGUGGCAGAGGGGGGUGGAAUUCCACGUGUAGCAGUGAAAUGCGUAGAGAUGUGGAGGAACACCGAUGGCGAAGGCAGCCCCCUGGGCUAACACUGACGCUCAGGCACGAAAGCGUGGGGAGCAAACAGG